AAUUCGGACAUUCGUGGAAUUCGAUAACAAUCUAAUAAGAAAAAACGUUUCUGUGACAUUCAGAUCGGAAGAAUUUAAAUAUCAAUAUAUCAUCAUACUAUAUAUGAUUCAGUAUUGGAGCGAAGAUCUAAAUCGGACAAUUCAAAUAAAUAUCACGAAUGCUGUUCUUUUGUUAAUUUCAAUGUGUCCACCAUGGACGAGAAUCCGAUACCUCUAUUACUCGUCAUCCCGUUUUCAUUUGGUGUGAAUAUAUUGGAUGUAGAUUUACAGAUAGGUAUUGAACUUGAUACACAAAUUAUGUAUAGAGAUAUCGUUUACUCAGCAUUGGAACAUAAAAUAUAUGGAAUCAAUGACCAGUCAGAGCUAAUAACAUCGGAUUUUAAUCCAACCGCAAUUCAAACAAAUCGAACAAUAGCAAAGCUCAAUGACACUGCACAUCAUCUCUGCUUUGAUUGGAUUCAUAGGAAACUUUAUUGGGUACAAGAAUGCACAACGGGAAUCUGCAUUAUAAAGCUAGACUUAACAUUGUUGGAACAAAUAGGCAUAAUAGAAUAUGAUGAAAUAAAUAUAUCCAAGAAACGACAUCUAGUACUGUUUUUACAUGUACUGCCAUCAUCAGGAUAUAUGUAUUGGUUACUGGCUGGCUCGUCAGAAGUAAUGCGAUCGGAUUUAGAUGGAAAAACAUGAAAACUCUUAGAAAAGACAAUAAAUGCUUUCGUAACGAACUACAUCUAGAGUCCUACUGGACCUUACAGACUGAUACAACAAAUAUUGAGCCGUUAUUAUAUUGGAGUCGUUACAGUAACUUUGUCAUAACAGAUAUUGAUGGUUGUAAAUAUUACAAGAUUUCAAACUUUAGCCACAAUUACAUGCAUUUAACGUUUGACAAAACAAACAUUUACUUGUACAGUCGAUACAAUUAUAUGAUUUACAUUUAUAAAAAAAUAUAUCCUCUUUUCGAAAACAAAGAACAUAAAUUGGAAUAUGUACGUAGAAUACGUUACCGAGAAAAUGUUGCUUAUCUCAAUAAAUUUAUAUCACUUGAUAAAACUUUACAAACAUAUCCCCAGACAAAAUGUUUGUUACCUAACAUGACAAAUUAUCGUAUUGAAGUGUUAAAUAAAACCAUACACAGUAUCACCGUAAGCCUUCCAGAUCCGAUUCUCAAUGACGGAUGCAAAAGUACGACUUACCAUCUACUAUAUAUAACAUCUCCAGGAGUUAUUCAACAUGUUUGGACAAUGGCAGUAACAAGUUCGAGCAAUUCAAUGUCACUAUAUACAAACGACAUUACGAAUUCAAGAAUUUAAUGCCGUUCACAGAAUAUACGCUGAAGCUAGCACUGAGCAAUUUUUACGUCCGCAAGUUAUCAAUGGACUUGCAAUUCGGCUCGGAUGUGAAAGUGAUAACUACCGGAAAGCUCGACAUGCCAGAAGAUGUGACGGUUCAAGUUUUAACGCCAACGUUAGCGAUAGUUUAUUGGAUGCCAUCCAAGAAAUUAAACUGCGUGACAGUGACCUACGAGGUGCAUUGGAUGCAAUUUUCAAAUAAAACGCAAGAAAUAAUACAAAAAUCUUCCAUCACAAAACUUAUCGAUACGCUCGAACGUACAACAGAUGGAAAGCUUUUCACGACAAUCGGGUCGCUGCUGUCAAAACAUAAUUAUCAGAUAUAUGUGCGUGUAUAUCCAUACAAUUUUAGUCAAUUCUUCACUGACAGUUUAAACAAAACAAUCUACAUGUCAGAACCGAAUAAUUUAAGUUUAAUCGGAGUCAGUACAAAUAGUAUGGAUAUCUCAUGGAUUUCUGGCGUCAAUUUGACGAUGCACACGAAAUUCCGUCCCAUACUGGAAUACAAAGAAGAUGCGAUGUGGGAAUGGCAAAUGGUGAAUAUCAGUGAAAGAAAUAAUAAUAAAAUAAUAUAUUAUAUAAAAAAUUUAUUGCCGCAAACUUUAUACAAUUUUCGUUUGAUCCUGAAAUAUCCCGAAUACAUGGACGACUUUGUAUAGCCUGAAAAAGGAUUUAGAUUUGGAAAUCAUGGUAAUGUACCAAGUGCUUCUGGGAGACCCAUUGUAACAAAACUUCCAAAUUUGACGUAUCAAUUAAACUGGGAACAUGCGCAAGCUCAUGAUUCACCAGUGAUUUUGUAUCGACUGGAGGGUUUAAUUGUCGAAAAUAAUGACAAAGAAGUCAAUCGAAUCGACAAAAUCAAUCAUUGGAAUUUAUACUAUAAUGGAACAAAUAAUUAUUGCUGGAUAACGACGAAAGAAAUGAAUGAGAAAUAUCUUUUUCGUGUGCAGGCUACAAAUGCUUAUGGUUCUGGGAAAUGGAGCGGCGAAUCAAGAGUCGUUGAUUUAACAUCAAAUCUGAAAUUAAAUAAGAACGAAAUAUUAACUGUGCAAUACGUAACGUUAAUAUUAAGCAUUAUCGCUACCAUCGUAAUCUAUAAUGUUUACUACUUUUACUGCUGUAAGCACUGGCAACGCAAAAAAAGUAAACAAAUAAUUAGGCCCUCAAUAAUUAAUAUCAAAUCAACAACCGCGAACGAAACAUCUUUCAUAAACUAUGAACUCCACUCUGUGCACGAUCCUAAAUUGCAAAGUGAUAUCAACGAAUUUGCAAGUAUAAUAAUCGAUAAAAAACAAAUCACUCUAGAAAAUCUUCUAGGCAGCGGUGCAUUUGGAGAGGUAUAUCGAGGAGUCAAAAAUGGAGAAGGUUCGGAAAUAAUGCCUGUCGCCAUUAAGAUGCUACGAAAAAUGCUACCUGGCAAAAGAAACAAGAAUUCUUGGAAGAGGCUAAAAUUAUGAAAGAAUUUGACCACUGUUGGGCAUCUGUAUUACCGAGAAUCAACCAUGGCUGAUAUUGGAAUUAAUGGAAGUUGGUGACU